GAUGAACGCUGGCGGCGUGCCUAAUACAUGCGAGUCGAGCGAACGGACGAGAAGAUUGCUUCUCUGAUGUUAGCGGCGGACGGGUGAGUAACACGUGGAUAACCUACCUAUAAGACUGGGAUAACUUCGGGAAACCGGAGCUAAUACCGGAUAAUAUUUUGAACCGCAUGGUUCAAAAGUGAAAGACGGUCUUGCUGUCACUUAUAGAUGGAUCCGCGCUGCAUUAGCUAGUUGGUAAGGUAACGGCUUACCAAGGCAACGAUGCAUAGCCGACCUGAGAGGGUGAUCGGCCACACUGGAACUGAGACACGGUCCAGACUCCUACGGGAGGCAGCAGUAGGGAAUCUUCCGCAAUGGGCGAAAGCCUGACGGAGCAACGCCGCGUGAGUGAUGAAGGUCUUCGGAUCGUAAAACUCUGUUAUUAGGGAAGAACAUAUGUGUAAGUAACUGUGCACAUCUUGACGGUACCUAAUCAGAAAGCCACGGCUAACUACGUG
rnacentral:rRNA from 1 species